rnacentral:rRNA from 1 species
UGGGGGAUAUUGCACAAUGGGCGAAAGCCUGAUGCAGCGACGCCGCGUGGGGGAUGAAGGCCUUCGGGUUGUAAACUUCUUUUGCUCUGAACAAGGCAUGCCUUUGGGGUGUGUUGAGUGUAGGGGUUGAUUAGCGCCGGCUAACUACGUGCCAGCAGCCGCGGUAAUACGUAGGGCGCGAGCGUUGUCCGGAAUUAUUGGGCGUAAAGGGCUUGUAGGUGGCUGGUUGCGUCUGUCGUGAAAGCUCAUGGCUUAACUGUGGGUUUGCGGUGGGUACGGGCUGGCUUGAGUGCAGUAGGGGGGGCUGGAAUUCCUGGUGUAGCGGUGGAAUGCGCAGAUAUCAGGAGGAAUACCGGUGGCGAAGGCGGGUCUCUGGGCUGUUACUGACGCUGAGGGGCGAAAGCGUGGGGAGCGAACAGG